rnacentral:tRNA from 1 species
GCCCUCGUAGCUCAGGUGAAUAGAGCAAGCGUUUCCUAAACGCUAGGUCGCUGGUUUGAGUCCAGCCGAGGGCACAA